rnacentral:tRNA from 1 species
GGAAUGGACGCUAAUAUGGCAUCAGCAGCCGGCUCAUAACCGGAAGAUAGGCGGGUUCGAAUCCUCCCCAUUCCACCA